AGGAAUACUCAGCAUGGGCAGACCGUCUUCUGCUGAUUUAAAGGCGCAUCUGCCUCUCAAAGGCAAUAAUUCAUGAGGGCACAUGUAUAAAAGCCACUUACUCUUGUCCUGUUACCUUUCAGUUGGAUCCACAACAAACUGCAAUAGAAGGAAACAUUUAAAACCAUCCAGGAAGGCAGGAAGGCAGGAGGGGGUUCCUCGGAGCGUCUAUGCCCGCGCACACAGUCAGGAGCCCGGCUUGUGUCCUCCACAGAUUCUCCCCGCGGUAAUUCCGGAGCCAAACAAAAGCUGGGAUUGAUUCAAAUCAAGUUGUUGUCUUCUCCAAAUUGCCGGUAAUAGUUGUGUACUUUUCCACGGGGAGGAUGCCAAGAAGAGGAGUUGAUCCAGGGGAGUGUGAGACGCAACGAGGAGCUUCCGACGCUCAAGUGCCGGGGAAGCGGCGUGUUGCAGGUGGAUAGAGGACACUGGACCACCCUCCCUGCGGCCUGGACACACCCAUGGGGCGGAGGGAACCUACCUUAGCAACCGCAAACGCCCCCAAAUUAAAUAUACAACAACACAGCGUUGUGUUUUAUUGUAUCUGAACUGUCUAUUAUUGUGGUUUGCUGAGUAUACGUCAACACUGAACGGCCAUUUUGAUUAAGUAUUGUUGUACCAUUCAUGAGUUGUCAAAAACCCCGCCCACAUCCGAGUGCAGAUUGUCAAGUGCACGCCAAAGCGACAGGUGGCGCUGUGGUACCUAAAGAUAUGUUUAUCAGCCAGCGAGAACGUUGAAUAAAGUGAACUACAAGGAAGUCAAAGUGGAAAAUUGUUGAAAGAUGGCCAAUAUCGACAGGAGAGAAGUAAUAAACGCCCUUGCUGAACAAAAAUUAAUAUAGAAUAUAAGAAAUGAGGCAGCAACGGCAACAGCAACGGAGUGCAGGCAAAUUGAAUCAUUCAAGUGGAACUAAUGAGGAGUCGCUGGGAAGAGGCAGCAGGCAGCCGCCAUCCAGUCAUUAAGCUCCCAUCUCGCUGCCGUUGUUGCCUUAAUUGCACUUGACUGUCACUCACCGGGAGUCGUCUUUGGCUGUGCAAGCACCCGUCAACCGUGAUGACACUACACACGGACUGCAGCUGCACGUUGUCAGAGAGGCUGUUCUCCAUCCCACACCUUCCUCCAGCGCUGAAAACAGGUCAAGUCAUCUAAGACCUCCUAGCAGAUGAAGUCCUGCGGCCAACAUGAGCGCUGCCAUCUGUGACACGCAGCCCAUCCAUGCAACAGUCAAACUCUUCUGUUUGGAAAAGAUCUGUUAGUGUGAGUGUGUGUGUGUGUUCAACUUCCCCCUCAGACACCCAGAGGAUUUGUGCUCCAUAAACUCUGUGGCCUUUUGCACCUCCAAGGAAGUCCAUCUGCUGAGGAGAGUGUGGGGCGGCCUCCGGGCCGGCGGCAUGCGUGCAUACCGCAUGCUUCAAGUGUGACGGCCGUGCGCAGAUUUCCACCUCCUAAACGGCCCGUUGUACCCCUCCACGGGUCCGCUCCGUGUGACCUGUUGUCGUUUGGCCGCCUGGAAGGAGCCACGGC